GUCAUGCUCUUUUAUUCAGAGAAUAGCAUGGAAUAGCACGGGGACAGGACCCGUGGACAGUAAGAGCUACAAUGGGUUGAGGGCAGGGCUAAAUUUAUAAGGCAUAGGUAUGUGAGUUAUUUCUUUACAAGACAAAGGAAAGAUUAUGCUAAAAAAAAAAGUCAUUAAAAUGGUAUCAGUUCAUGUGGGGUCUGGUUAUCGGGUGGUCCUAUAACUUUAGAUAAGAAUCAGAUCGGAUCAGGUCGAGAUGUCUGUCCUAUGCUUCCUGGAGGAUGAUAUAGAUCGGUAUGUAGGGCAGGAUGCCUUGGACUUCUCUCCUCGGGGCAGGGGCAGCCUUGAUUCUCAUCAAGACCACUCAAGGUGGGGUCGCUCUCUUGACAAGGCCAAGGGGAGACCUGGCUUUCUGCUGUGUGGCCACAGGGCCUGACCAAAAAUUGUCCAUGGUCUGAGAGUUGUACGUGUGUCUCAGGAGGUGGAAUCUCCCACUUCUUCCACUCCAGCCACCCAGACACAACCCCUUCAAGAGCCUGGAGGCCUCUUCCCAGAGUCAUGCCCCACCCCCUCCCAUAUGCAGGACGCCCUGUGCCAGAACAUGUUCUCCAUCGACACUUACCUGUCCUGGGGUGCCCGGGGACACAGUGACUGAAGGUCUGAUUCGCAGUCUCUCUCAUGACAGACAAUCCCAGAUCUCUCCUCCAUGCCAGACUCAGUUGUUUAUGGGUUUUUUAAAAAAAUUGCAGUAAAAAUACGUAACAUAAAGUUUACCGUCUUAACCUCUUGUGUGUAGUUCACUAGCGUAAACUAUAUUCACAUUGUCAUGCAACAGAUCUCUGUCAUUUUUUCACCUUGAAAAAUUGAAAUUCUGUACCCAUUAAAUAGCAACUCCCCAUUUCCCCCUCCUCCUAGUUCUUGGCAACCACUACUUUCUAUUUCUGUGAAUUUGACUGCUCUAGGAACCUCAUAUAAACGGAAUCAUACAGUAUUUGUCUUUUUGUAAUGGCUUUUUUAACUUAGCAAACUAUCCUCCUUUUUAAGGCUGAAUACUAUUCCAUUGUCUGUACAGACCACACUUUACUCAUCCAUCAUCAGUUGACGGACUCUAGGGUUGCUCUCACCUCUCAUCUGCUGUGAACAGAGCUGCUGUGAACAUGGGCGUGCAAAUAUCUUCGCAAUCUUGCUUUCAGUCCUUUUGGAUAC
rnacentral:lncRNA from 1 species